UCACAUGAAGCAAGGAAGGCCAAAAAGAAGAAGCCAAGACAGUUGCCACCAGAAUCUGAUGAUGACAUAGACACCAUCAUGAAUGCUCCGCCUGUGCCCUCAAACUUCCCAUGCCCUACCCCUGCUGGUGGUUCUCUGGAUGGAGAUCAUGGUAGCAUGGUGGAAUACUGUUCAAGCUUGCCACCAGAUAUUCAGUGCCAAAGGCAGGAAAGACAAACAGCUUCUUC